rnacentral:rRNA from 1 species
CCUACGGGAGGCUGCAGUGAGGAAUAUUGGUCAAUGGACGAGAGUCUGAACCAGCCAAGUAGCGUGAAGGAUGACUGCCCUAUGGGUUGUAAACUUCUUUUAUAAAGGCAUAAAACGCGGCACGUGUGCCUUUUUGCAUGUACUUUAUGAAUAAGGAUCGGCUAACUCCGUGCCAGCAGCCGCGGUAAUACGGAGGAUCCGGGCGUUAUCCGGAUUUAUUUGGUUUAAAGGGAGCGUAGAUGGGUUGUUAAGUCAGUUGUGAAAGUUUGCGGCUCAACCGUAAAAUUGCAAUUGAUACUGGCAGUCUUGAGUACAGUUGAGGUAGGCGGAAUUCGUGGUGUAGCGGUGAAAUGCUUAGAUAUCACGAAGAACCCCGAUUGCGAAGGCAGCUUACUAAACUGUGACUGACAUUGAUGCUCGAAAGUGUGGGUAUCAAACAGGAUUAGAUACCCUGGUAGUC